CCAAUUCCCUAUAUAGUGCACUACAUUAGACCAGAGCCCAAUUCCCUAUAUAGUGCACCUCUUUAGACCAGGGCCCUAUUCCCUAUAUAGUGCACUACUUUAGACCAGGGCCCUAUUCCCUAUAUAGUGCACUACUUUAGACCAGAGCCCUAUUCCCUAUAUAGUGCACUACUUUAGACCAGAGCCCUAUUCCCUAUAUAGUGCACUACUUUAGACCAGGGCCCUAUUCCCUAUAUAGUGCACUACUUUAGAGCAGAGCACCACAUAGUAAAUAGGGUGCCAUUUGGGACACUACAUGUCAGAGGAGAACUUAUGUUGCCAAAAAUGUUUUCAAAGAAAUGUGCAUGAAUUUAUAUAGCCUUUAAGAGACUAUUAGAAGAGGGAGGGGGGGGUGUCUGUGUGUUUGUAGGUGUGAGAGUGAAUGAGUGUUUGUAGGUGUGUGUGUGUUUGUGUGUGUAGGUGUGUGUGUGUGUGUGACUACCACAGCCCUUGUACAAAUUAACAGUUGUAGAUUUUUCCCCAAACAAAGAGGUGGGAACAUAACGCACCCCGUCUUUGCCCUUCCCCUUCCCAGUGCUCCAACCAAUCUCGUCUCUCCUUGAGAUCUGGAACGUUCACAGACUCCGCCCCCAGACCCCUCCCCUCUACAAACUGUCGGGCGACGGAACACGCUGUUGCCUUCCUUCUACGUUGUCACGGCAACAGAACAAUGAGCUCGGAACUCUAUAGAAUGGAGGUGAUUCUAACCCGGAACUCUCCUACUGUAAACAAUACCUACAUAAUGAGGAUGAUCGUCCAUUGUACAUAGAUCCACCUGUGCUCUGACUUGUCUUGUAUUGCUACUGAAGUUAACCCCAGUUAAACUGUGUAACCAAAC
ensembl:lncRNA